CUAAUACAUGCAAGUCGAGCGGACAGAUGGGAGCUUGCUCCCUGAUGUUAGCGGCGGACGGGUGAGUAACACGUGGGUAACCUGCCUGUAAGACUGGGAUAACUCCGGGAAACCGGGGCUAAUACCGGAUGGUUGUUUGAACCGCAUGGUUCAAACAUAAAAGGUGGCUUCGGCUACCACUUACAGAUGGACCCGCGGCGCAUUAGCUAGUUGGUGAGGUAANGGCUCACCAAGGCAACGAUGCGUAGCCGACCUGAGAGGGUGAUCGGCCACACUGGGACUGAGACACGGCCCAGACUCCUACGGGAGGCAGCAGUAGGGAAUCUUCCGCAAUGGACGAAAGUCUGACGGAGCAACGCCGCGUGAGUGAUGAAGGUUUUCGGAUCGUAAAGCUCUGUUGUUAGGGAAGAACAAGUACCGUUCGAAUAGGGCGGUACCUUGACGGUACCUAACCAGAAAGCCACGGCUAACUACGUGCCAGCAGC
rnacentral:rRNA from 1 species